rnacentral:rRNA from 1 species
UGGGGAAUAUUGCACAAUGGGCGCAAGCCUGAUGCAGCGACGCCGCGUGGGGGAUGACGGCCUUCGGGUUGUAAACUCCUUUCGCUAGGGACGAAGCUUUUUGUGACGGUACCUAGAUAAGAAGCACCGGCUAACUACGUGCCAGCAGCCGCGGUAAUACGUAGGGUGCGAGCGUUGUCCGGAAUUACUGGGCGUAAAGGGCUCGUAGGUGGUUUGUCGCGUCGUCUGUGAAAUUCCGGGGCUUAACUCCGGGCGUGCAGGCGAUACGGGCAUAACUUGAGUACUGUAGGGGUAACUGGAAUUCCUGGUGUAGCGGUGAAAUGCGCAGAUAUCAGUAGGAACACCGAUGGCGAAGGCAGGUUACUGGGCAGUUACUGACGCUGAGGAGCGAAAGCAGGGGUAGCGAACAGG